UUUGAAGAGAAACAGAAAGCCACUCUUAACCCCUGAGAGCCUGGGCUUACACCGAGAGAACACGCUGUGCUCUCCUGCCCACUGGGCAGAUGAGGAGUCUGAAUCCCCAAGUAGGUCAGUGAUGAGCUGAAAGCCCCACAGACCUCGGGGUGAGAGCCGAGACUCUCCCGAAAAUCCAGGAGUCUGAAUUCCCAUCGCCCGUGGGAGAUAGACAGGGAGUGAAUAUUUAAUAAGCGCCUAUCAUGUGCCAGGCCCUGAAAUGAUGUGCUAAGCAACGAAAUCAAUUGGCAAGCAAUCACUGAAAAAGAAAAAUGAGAGGGGCCCUUAGGAACUUAGAGUCCACGUGAACCUUAGCAUCAUUUAUCCACUCGGUGUGAAAUCCACGCAGCAAUGAGUUGUCCGAGGUCCACACAGGGAAGAUGGCGUUGGAAGGACUUCCACACCCAUUACCUGAAGACCAGUGUUUUCUUUCUACGACACAGAGGACAGGGACAACCAGAGCAACUCUGGGGAGGUCUGGUGACUGAACUGUGAGCUGGGGCGUGACAUGAGGAUGUGGUUUGCUCUACCACAAUCCAAUCAGCCCUCAUGGUUGGUCAAUAAGUUACUCUUAGUUUCUCCUCUAACACAAGGAAGUCAGACUAAGAGGCCACGUCACCUCCUUCUCUGGGUCCCCCUGCUCACCACCUCUGCCUCAGAGCAUUUGCUCAUCCAGGUUGACCAGAGCUGCCAUUUUCACCCCCAUGUCUGUUUGGCAUCCCCCAGCCUCAGCCGGUUUUAGCUGAAUGGCAGAACAAAAAUGAUUUGGCAAAUGGGUAUGCAGAGCCAAUCAGUGAGGGACCAAAGUUUGUGCUGACUACUAGCAAAAGGAGGAGCUCCUUAAAGCAGGGAAACUUGAUGUUACUUACUAGUGGCUCUUAGGGUUUCUGGCAGAGCCACAGAAAAUAUUGAUUCCUGUGGAUUUCACUUAUCCACUCAGGACGCAACCUUUAUUAGCACAGAUGAUUCAGAGCUACCCAUGGCAACACUGCCAUUUAAUAAAAACGAAACCAAAAACCUGAUGUCCAGAAAUGCAGCACUCAAAUUUGCUUAUAAGGCAUUCUCAUUUCAGCAGCCCCAGUAGCACUCUGUGACAAUGUGUGGGCCAGACGGUCCAUGAAGUAGUUAGUACCUGCCUCGAACAUGUGUUCAGACCAGUGUCACCUCCCCUGUCAAGCCUUAAAACUUAUCCAAAGCUUUGAAUAUAGAAAUGUUUUCAGUGCCAUGUUUUUGCAUAGAAAAUGCCAAAUGUAAAUUAACCACUUAUAGGAUUUUUCCAACAAGCCACUUACGAAUGGUCACCAUUAAAAAUUCAUUGCUUUUUAAGGUGGGAGCAUCUCUGCCUGAGAUGAGGAAAUAAUUAGCUCAGAGUACCAUCUGACUAAAUACCAGGACACGUAGAUUUAUAAUGCAUUUAUUUGGAACACCAUAUUAAAACUUGCCAGAACUAUAGCAUCACAAUGUGGAGUAGGGUCUCUCUCCGAUUUCUUAUAAAUAUGAUACAGAUUUUAAAAUGGCUGUUUUUCUAUUCAGACAGGGUUUUGCAAAAUGAGAUAAAAUACCAAGUUGAAAAUAAGUGGGUUUGUUUGCUCAUUCACCCUCCCUUUUUCUGAACCCAUAACAUAAACCAAAGCGUUGUAAGGAAGUGCAACACACAAGACCACCAUGAUGAGAAUGCUUAACAAAAUGCAUAGUGAAAUGUACACAUUAGGCCUCCAAGUGGACAGGUACUCCCUCCAUGGGCAAGGCAUUUGGUGACUCCAUCAGUGGUCAAGGUUCAGACCGUGCACUGACAUCUGGCCUUGAGCUAACUAUCAUUUUAUUUUACAUUUUCUUCUUACAAGUUUGGUUUUAGGCUACUACAUUAUGUUAACAAGUUCUC